GACGAACCGUGCGAACGUUAUUCGGAAUCACUGGGCUUAAAGCGCGUGUAGGCGGCCCGGUAAGUCCGCUGUGAAAGUCCAGGGCUCAACCCUGGGAUGCCGGUGGAUACUGUCGGGCUCGAGUCCGGAAGAGGCGAGUGGAAUUCCUGGUGUAGCGGUGAAAUGCGCAGAUAUCAGGAGGAACACCGGUGGCGAAGGCGGUUCUCUGGGCCUUACCUGACGCUGAGGAGCGAAAGCAUGGGGAGCAAACAGG
rnacentral:rRNA from 1 species